CCGCCGCCCCGCCGCCGCCGCUCCAGCAGCGGCCAUCUUGUGCGUCGGCUGCUCCCCUCACCGCCUCCCUCCUUCCCUCCCUCCCCGCAUCGCCCUCCCCUUCCUGCGCCCUCCUCCCCCGAGCAGCCGGGGCGGGGCAGGGAGAAACAGCCGAGUCACGGGCUGGAGCGCCGUGAGGGCUGGGCUGGGCAGGGGAACUGUCACCCAAGGCCGAGAGGGCGUCUGGCGGUCUGUGAGGGCCGGUAUACCUCCCCGUUGCCCUCUCUCGCCAUUUUGGGGUGUUUUUCGCUCUGUCACCUCAUCUUCUCAUCGCUAGCGGGCUCAGACGGGUAUCGGGGUGGAGGUCGCGGCUCUUCACACGCCGAGUGCCGCCUGAGGAGUGCUCUGUGUGUUGGGAGCCUCCCGAGGGCCCCCGCCCGCCAUUUUCUCUCCCUCAGGAUGCUCCUGUGUUUGCGAGCGCUGCGGUUCCCCUCAUCUUCCCCGCUGCCACUGCCUCACGCCAACACACCUAAGAGCUUGGGGCUGGGUAAUUUUCUAACUUAAAGGGAAAAUAACACAAAUUAAGCUGUUCCCGCUUAGGCGGCCGUUCAGGGCAAAGCCCUCGCCGCUCUGCCCACCAGCCCCAGGGGAAGGAGCAGAGCUGGACUCGCUGCUGGAGAAGGUCCCCCGUAGCUUUAUUUGCUGCAGGACCCACUGAAAUCAUCCUCAGCUUUAACAACACCACAGGCUACUCGGAAUGCAAAAGAUCUAUGUAAAUAUACCCUCUGGUUGCAGCUGUUGUGGAAAAAGAAGAAAUUAUAAGGGAGGGGAAGCUGAAUUGUAAAGGUUAAGAAACUUCUCAGGUUUACAAAGCCAGCAGUGGCAAGAUGAGGAAUAAACCCACGGUCUGGUCUCCUGUUCCAGCCACUAGACCUUGUGUUCCUCCACACUCGUGCAAGUUACAGUAAAUGCAUUAUGAGUAAACUG